UAGCAAUUCCACCCCACCUCCUCUUCCUUUCUGUCUAUCCUUCCUAAAUAUUGAAUACCCCUGCAUGUUCAGAUCCCUGGUUACCCUGGAGCUAUGUCUCCGUAAUUCCUACUAUAUCAUAUUCCUUAACUACUAACUGCACAUUCAAUUUAUCCACCGUAGAGGAGGAGUUU